UUAGGGGUUUCUGGUUUUUCAAGAAAUGAAUUUAAUUCAUGCGUCUUAUUUAGAGUUUUAUUAUUUGUUUAUUUAUUUUUAUUUGGUGUUAAGAUUGGGAGGGAUUAGCUUCUUAUUUUAUUUUUAUAAUUUUUUGUUUAUUUAGUCUUGUGGAUUUUAUAGUGAUUUUCAAUUUGAUUAUGUUAAAAUUUUAUUUGUUUUGUUCUUUAUUUUUAUUUAUUUAAUUAUUUAUUGAAAUGUAUUCUUUAUUUUGUUUUGGUUAGUAAUUAUUGUAGAAUUAGUAAAUUUAUUGUUAGGUUGUUUUAUUUGUGUUAAUUUUCUUUGAGGAACUAGGCAAAUUUUAUGUCCGCCUGUUUAACAAAAACAUCUUUUCUCGUUAGUUUUUGAAGUAUGGCCUGCCCACUGACUUUGGUGUUGAAGGGCCGCGGUAUUUUGACCGUGCAAAGGUAGCAUAGUCAUUAGUUCUUUAAUUGUGAUCUGGUAUGAAUGGCUUGACGAGGCAUGGGCUGUCUUAAUUUUGAAUUGUUUAUUGAAUUUGGUCUUUGAGUUAAAAUUCUUAGAUGUUUUUAUGGGACGAGAAGACCCUAUAGAGUUUAACAUUUGUUAUGGUCCCUUUCUGUUUGUGAGGGCUCACUGGGCCGUUUAAUAUGUUUUGUUGGGGUGAUGGGAGGGAAAUAUUUAA
rnacentral:rRNA from 1 species